GCCCCGGCUACUUUCCAGCGCAUGGUGGAUAGACUCCUUGAUGGCUUCCAGGACUUUGCGUGUGCUUACCUGGAUGACAUUGCGGUCUACAGUGGGUCUUGGGAGGAGCACCUAACGCACGUUGUGGUAGUUCUGGAUAAGAUUCGGGCCGCUGGCCUGACCCUUAAGCUGGAUAAGUGCCAUCUGGGCAUGGCAGAGGUACAGUACUUGGG